AGAGGGCAGAGACUUGGGGUACACUCACUGUUGGGGCACAUUAUGUGGCUAAUGAGCCAGCAAAGCAGAUACAGAAAGAAUGGCUGGUAGCAGAUUGUUCCCAGUAAAGCUAUCCUGCUUCUUCCAGAGAAGAAAGGGACUGACAUGUGGACUACCUUUUCCGGGAACUGUGGUUUAUGGGGCAACCUGUCCUUGGUGCAAGUCAGAGGGGUGGUAGGAGACAAGGAUCCAUGAUGGUUGUGGCCCAUUAUCCUUUGGAAACUCCUCCCCUUUAUGUCAUGCUAUGGGAAUUCACCCCACCCACUCUUAGGAAGUUGUACAACACUCUCCAGGCUGCUGAGGGCAUCUGGAAGAGGAGGAGAGAGAUCAGGAAACAAGAGCCCUUGGCUCAAAGAGCUACAGAGAAGCAAGGGGUUCUAGAGCCAAGUAACUGGUGUUGGCUGUGGGCUGGGGCAACAAAGAAGAAUCAUCACUUGCUGAAGCUCUGGGUUGCUCUUUGAUGGAUGUGUCCCUGGCGUGAGUUUGCUCCCUGUCCUCCAAGAGGGCUUGGGCUAGCUGCCCCCG